rnacentral:rRNA from 1 species
UACAGAGGUCUCAACCGUUGUUCGGAUUCAUUGGGCGUAAAGGGUGCGUAGGCGGUCGCGCAAGUCGGAUGUGAAAUCUCAGGGCUCAACCCUGAAACUGCAUUCGAUACUGAGUGGCUAGAGUGCUGGAGAGGAGACUGGAAUUUACGGUGUAGCAGUGAAAUGCGUAGAUAUCGUAAGGAAGACCAGUGGCGAAGGCGAGUCUCUGGACAGCAACUGACGCUGAGGCACGAAGGCCAGGGGAGCAAACGGG